GUUAGGAAUAUUCGUCAAUGGGGGGAACCCUGAACGAGCAAUGCCGCGUGAACGAAGACGGUCCUCUGGAUUGUAAAGUUCUGUUGUAUGGGAAGAACGGUACAUAUAGGAAAUGAUAUGUAAGUGACGGUACCAUUCAAGAAAGCCACGGCUAACUACGUGCCAGCAGCCGCGGUAAUACGUAGGUGGCGAGCGUUAUCCGGAUUUAUUGGGCGUAAAGCGUCCGCAGCCGGCUUAAUAAGUAUAGAAUUAAAGUCCGAGGCUUAACCUCGGUUCGUUCUGUAAACUGUUAGGCUCGAGUGUGGUAGAGGCAAGUGGAAUUUCUAGUGUAGCGGUAGAAUGCGUAGAUAUUAGAAGGAACACCAGUGGCGAAGGCGACUUGCUGGGCCAUCACUGACGGUCAGGGACGAAAGCGUGGGGAGCAAAUAGGA
rnacentral:rRNA from 1 species